GCAUUGUGACGAGAAACCGCUGAGCGUGACCGCCCUUCCCUCAAGGAGUUGGCUUUUAGCCUCACGGCCGGUUUCUGUUGGAAAAGCUGGCUGUGAGGCACCGUGCCCGAACCUCCCAGCACCUUCCUUGAUGCUCACUCCUGCUCAGCCCCUCAGUUAAGGGGCUGCACUACACCUGGUCCGCAGGAGGCCUCGGCCGGAACUCGCUUUCAGGUGAGUCUACAAUUAGUUGGGAAACAACGGGUUGCAACGCCGACCUGGUCUGGGACAUGAAGAGGGGUGAACUACCAGGGUUUCAAGGUUGGAGGGGCGUUAGGUCGGGUCUCCGGGGGCGUGGGGUUGAGGCUGGGUUAUUCCACAAAUUGCAUCCCAAUUUUGCACAACUGAGCAAGAAAACCCUCCUCAGCCUUCCUUGAAACUAACAUUAAGGUAGUGGUUAGGUGUUAAAAACUGUUCCAUGUACUUGACUGGUUUUACUUGACAACCGUAUGAGGUUGUCAAGUAAAUACAUGAGAAACCUGCAUCCCACAGAAGUUAAACUUGCUCAAGGCCAUUGUGGUACUUGGAGUUUUGCAGCCUCUCAUUUUCCACAGGUGGAAGUCAUCGCUGGCCAGGCACACACUGCACACCCACACAGAACCCAGUUCUUCAGUGGAGUAUCAGCACACCACAUAGCCCUUAAUUUUCAACUAUACAGGUGCCAGGCUCCUGCUGCACACACUCAUCCACCUGCACCUACACCCACACUGAACCAGAGCACUAAAAUACAAGGAAACUUUUAUUUUCAAUUUUCAUCAAGAAAUUUGCUGUGGUUUUUUAUGCUUUUGGUUUUUUUUUUUUUUUUCCACUUUAUUUCAUUUAGCCGCUCAGUGGCUAGAGCCGCUGGGUUCCUGGUAUUAAAAAGAUGCCAACAGAGGUAGCUGUGUCUCGCCCAGGGGCCCAGCCCACUCUGAAUACCCCCAAAAAAGGAGAAAACACAAAAUAAACC